rnacentral:rRNA from 1 species
CUACGGGGGGCUCCAGUGAGGAAUAUUGCACAAUGGGGGAAACCCUGAUGCAGCAACGCCGCGUGGAGGAUGACGCAUUUCGGUGUGUAAACUCCUUUUAUGAGUCAAGAAAAUGACGGUAGCUCAUGAAUAAGCACCGGCUAACUCCGUGCCAGCAGCCGCGGUAAUACGGAGGGUGCAAGCGUUACUCGGAAUCACUGGGCGUAAAGGACGCGUAGGCGGGCUUGUAAGUCAGGUGUGAAAUCCUACAGCUUAACUGUAGAACUGCACUUGAAACUACGAGCCUAGAGUAUGGGAGGGGGAGAUGGAAUUAGUGGUGUGGGGGUAAAAUCCGUAGAUAUCACUAGGAAUACCGAAAGCGAAGGCGAUCUCCUGGAACAUUACUGACGCUAAGGCGUGAAAGCGUGGGGAGCAAACAGGAUUAGAUACCCCCGUAGUC